UCAGAGAGUAGUUUAAGUAGUAAAAUACUGGCUUUGGGGGCCAGGGAUGGAAGACCCUCUUUGA
rnacentral:tRNA from 1 species